AAGCGAUUUUGAGGAAGUUUUCGGAUGGAAUCGAAAUUGACUUACCGGCGGACGGGUGAGUAACACGUGGGUAAUCUGCCUUAUACAGGGGGAUAACAGUUAGAAAUGACUGCUAAUACCGCAUAAGCGCACGGGGACGCAUGUUUCUGUGUGAAAAACUCCGGUAGUAUAAGAUGAGCCCGCGUCUGAUUAGCUGGUUGGUGGGGUAACGGCCUACCAAGGCGACGAUCAGUAGCCGGCCUGAGAGGGUGAACGGCCACAUUGGGACUGAGACACGGCCCAAACUCCUACGGGAGGCAGCAGUGGGGAAUAUUGCACAAUGGGGGAAACCCUGAUGCAGCGACGCCGCGUGAGUGAAGAAGUAUUUCGGUAUGUAAAGCUCUAUCAGCAGGGAAGAAAAAAGACGGUACCUGACUAAGAAGCCCCGGCUAACUACGUGCCAGCAGCCGCGGUAAUACGUAGGGGGCAAGCGUUAUCCGGAUUUACUGGGUGUAAAGGGAGCGUAGACGGCGCGGCAAGUCUGAAGUGAAAGGCAGGGGCUUAACCCCUGAACUGCUUUGGAAACUGCCAUGCUAGAGUGCUGGAGAGGUAAGUGGAAUUCCUAGUGUAGCGGUGAAAUGCGUAGAUAUUAGGAGGAACACCAGUGGCGAAGGCGGCUUACUGGACAGUAACUGACGUUGAGGCUCGAAAGCGUGGGGAGCAAACAGGAUUAGAUACCCUGGUAGUCCACGCCGUAAACGAUGAU
rnacentral:rRNA from 1 species